GGAGAGAUGGCUGAGUGGCUGAAAGCACCUGCCUGCUAAGCAGGUAUCUGGAGAAAUCCGGAUCGAGGGUUCGAAUCCCUCUCUCUCCACCA
rnacentral:tRNA from 2 species